rnacentral:lncRNA from 1 species
UCUGACUAUCGGGGGAUUCCUCUUCCUAAGGUUAAAGAAAUAUGCUCCCACAUAUUAGGAGGGUUGGAUUACUUACAUCGCAAGCUUUCUAUUAUACAUACUGAUCUGAAGCCAGAAAAUGUGUUACUUUUGUCAAUGAUUGACCCGAGUAAAGAUCCAACAAAGUCAGGCGUACCUUUCAUCAUCCCAUCUAAGAAGGAUAAGAUUGUGCCUGAGUCUGGGGCUUGUAAAGAGGUAAGGAGCUACAAUAGUGAUUUGACCAAGAACCAAAAAAAGAAAAUCCGUAAAAAGGCUAAGAAAGCAGCUCAAAAUUGUAUGGAGGAACAUCCAGAAGAAAGUGAGCCAGAUAAUGAAGCAGCUGUAACCGAAGUUCCCCAUCAUGAUAAGAAAUCAAAUAGCGACUCAAUUGAAGAUAAAUCUAUGAGAGAUAGGUCAACAACUACAGGCAGUAAUAGGAAUUCACAACAAGGAAACCAAAGUCACAGAAGAGGCAGCCGUUCUGCAAGACGAAAGCUAUUAUCUGAGAUUGACACUAGGUGCAAAUUAGUUGAUUUUGGUAAUGCCUGUUGGACAUAUAAACAGUUUACAAGUGAUAUUCAGACUCGGCAAUAUAGGUGUCCUGAGGUACUCCUAGGAUCGAAGUACUCAACUUCAGCUGAUCUAUGGUCAUUCGCUUGUAUAUGCUUUGAACUGGCCACUGGUGAUGUCCUCUUUGAUCCGCACAGUGGUGAUAACUAUGACCGAGAUGAGGUAUGGACAAGCUCUUCUCAAUCUUAUGACUUUAUUUGCUAUAAAUAUUUCCUGUUUUACCUUUUGUGUAUAGAUUAGUUGAUUGCCAUCUGUGUGUGUAAGGAGCAAUGAGUGUGUUGCUCUUACUAUUAUCUCCUGCUGCUUUCUCCCUGACCUCCUAACGUAGUGACAUUGCUGCACCAAAGGGAGAUCUUUGGGGAUCUAUGUGUGAUUAUCGAUGAUUAAUUGACCACUGUUAAUUUCAAGAUCUUGUUGUUCCCUGCAGUGUAGAAUUAAAUGCUAAAAUAAGACUAGGAGAUGCAAGUAUCUUCAUACACUUGAAAAGGGAAUGAGAAUAAUCUUAUUUCUCAUUAUGAUGCAGUAUUAAAACUAAUUUGAUUUAUCUCCCAAAAUAUACUACUCCCUAGAUAUUAUGCCGAGCAAUGCAAUUUUUAGUUUCACUGAUAAUCGUGCAUUUUCAAUCCACUUCAUAGGAUCACUUGGCAUUGAUGAUGGAGCUUCUCGGAAUGAUGCCUCGCAAGGUGAGAUUUAUCUAUUAUUAAUAAGAUUCUUUUCAUGAAUCUUUCUUUAUUAUGUAGGAUCUGCACUGUGAUGUAUAUCACAUAGUUCGUAUUUGUUUAAAUUUUUCUGCCUUGAUCCGUGGUUCUGUUCGCUUAUUACUAUCAUGAUUUAUUCAUGUCAGAUUGCUCUGGGAGGACGACAUUCUCGAGAAUUUUUUAAUAGAUACGGUGAUUUAAGGCACAUACGUCGGUUACGUUUUUGGCCACUUAAUAAGGUGCUUGUGGAGAAAUAUGAGUUUAGUGAGCAAGAUGCGAAGGACUUGGCUGAUUUUCUUGUUCCCUUACUUGAUUUUGUACCUGAGAAAAGGCCCACAGCUGCACAGUGCCUUUCUCAUUCAUGGUUUUCCAGCGGUCCUCGUUCUUUAGAUCCCACUCUAGUUACACCCGAGGCUACAGAUAGUAUUUUGUCUGAAAAAAAGCGAGAAAAUGAAGAGAGAGAGGCAAUGGAGGUUGCAGUGGGGAACAUUGUGAUUGAUGGAGCUUCAAAGCCCGUGAAAGAUCCAAAACAAAAUUAGAGCAUGUCAUGUUUUUUAAUAGGACUAUUUUCCUGUUAAGCAGUGUAUGCUAAUUUUGGUUUCUUAUAUUUCGUUGUUGCUCCUCCAUUGCUCAUCCUCUGUCUUGUCGCCAAUUUGUUUGACAUCCAUGCAAAGUUUUGGGUUUAUGAAGUGAAGACAUUUGAUUCUUUGAUGGGUAUGAAUUGAACUUCUCUGUGAUUCGUUUGCCAUCUGUUAAUAUCGAUGGAACACUAUAUUCAAGCACCAUUAAAUUGUGAGUAUUUUUCUAAUGUAUGUGUUAUCUCUUGAGCAGAAAGACGAUCGAGUAUAAUUCUUGUCCAAGGUCUGUGAGGACAUGUCUUUCUUUACAAGUAGGUCAUUCUUGUAUCGUACUUUAGCUGCGAUUGCUUGUAUGUUUCAUACCAACUUGCCUACAAAUUAUUAGUUGCAUUUAUGUGGAAGUCUUCAUUCUUAUUAUUUUUUUGAUAACUGAGAGUUCUCCAUUAUCUGUUGGUAAUAAGUAACUAGAACAUCUUUGCAUAAUUUCAUAUAGCAGUUGUUUGAUCACGACUGCCAUAUGGUUUUCAGGGAAUCAUCAGGAUGUACAAACAUUAUCUGCAUGUUGAGUGUGCAGAGAUUAGCUUCGGAUGACGGGGAGCAUUUUAAAGGUGUAAAUCAGAUUAGAGUUAUAAGUGCAUAUUCAGUUCAGCAUCAUUAUUAUGCUCUAUUUCUUGUGUAUGGUGUUAAUGCUGUUAUUCUUUCGUAUUUGUGAAAGUUCACCCUAACUAUGAUGUUUGUCUGUUUAGUGAUUUAAGAAUAUUUGGGGUGAUAAUUGCACAUUUUUAUCCCCCUUUGUUGUGUUUUUACUGGUUGCCGCUUUAAUAUGUUCACCUUAUUGUGUGAUGAAAUAGAAGCUAGCAUUUGUAUACAGGUAGAAAGCUAGUUGCGUUUUUAAGUGUUUGAAAGUGUUGCUUCACAAACGGUUCUUACUGGAAUGUAAUAUCUCUCUAUAGGAAGAGCUAAGCAUUUGAUUUAAUUUAGUGACUUGUAGAUUAUAAAAUAGACUAAAGGCCAUUUUUGAAUCACUAAGUUAUUGUUUAUGGAAUUCACAGAUGGGGUUCUAUAAAUAGAGCUCAGCAAAUUCGAAAAAUUAUUUAAAAUGUUUCUUUUAAAUCCUAAUAUAAUGGAAAUCUUUUUAGGGUCGUGCUUAUGAGAGAACUAAUGCUUAAAAUAAAAUCAUAGAAUCACUAAAAUUUUGCUACAGAACUCUGUUUUUUACAUAAAUUUUCAGGAUCUAAAUCUAAUUACAUGUUUUUUUUUAUCAUUGUGUGUUUUCAAAAGUAAUUUCAAAUAUAAUACAUAAAUAAAACAUUUUUUUAAUGCAUAAUUCUGCUGCAGAACUCUAACUAAUAGUAGAAAUAAGUCAAUGAUUGUAAGGGUUCUAUGCCUAAGGGUUCUGUGCGGAACAUGGCCCAAAUUUUCUAAUCCAUGUCUUAUUAUUGCCAAAGCAAUUUUCAGAAUCUCACAUUUUUUUAUAUGAAAAAUGUCGAGGCAAGGCAAGUUAAGUCAACUUCGUUAGAAAUUGGUAAGCCGUCAAAAAACUGUUCAUCCAUUCAUAUAUUUGUUUCUUUGGCAAUAUAAAUAAAUUUAUAAGGAAAAGAUAAUAUUUUAUUUAUUUGUUAUUUAAAAAAUAUAUAUUUAUAAACAAACUAUUAUGAGUUGGAAUAUAUUAAAUUUAGAGGUCGUUUGGUUCAUCAUUAAUGAGUCCGGUUACAGCAAUUGGAAUCUUAGACCUAUACAUCGUGUUUAGAUUAGCAAAAUUUUUGUGUGGAAUGGGAACCUCAUUCUCUUUUAGAGGGUAAAUCAUUCUUUCCGCACCCCUUGCAUUAACCUUUUCCAUACCCUCAUUCUCAAUUCUCAUAUCCCUCAUUCUCUUUCUCAAUUCACAUUCCCACUGAGCAUCUUCAAGAACCUCCUUGUUGGCUCCUAAAUAUAAUAUAAAAAAAUAUGGCUCUUAGCAAUUUAGGACAAAGCUAAGAGUGUAAACUCCAACAAUACUCUUUACAUUUCUUCUCUAUUUUAUAUUUUAUUCAUAUAUUGGGCUCCAUUAUAACAAAAGAGAUGGAAAGAUGGAGGUGAAUUGGAUGGAAGAAUUUUUUAUUGUGAAAAAAUAAGUUAGGAACAAUGUAGUGGCUCUUAACUUUGAGGAGAGAGUAGAGAGAAACAAAAUGCUUGUGUUUGGUUGGGGUGAAUGAUUCCGGAAGGAAUGGAAUGGAAAAAUGAACUAUCUUAUGCAUAAUUUUUAAAAAAUUUAAUUCUUUCCUCCAUUCCAUUCCAUACAUCAUAAGCUAGAUAUCACACCUCCAAUUUGAGAUGGAAUGCUCUAUUCUCUCCUAUCCUCAAUUUCUUCACAAAUCCCAUCAUAGCAAUUUUGCCCUCCCUCAAUUUUUUUUCAAAACUGUCUUCCUAUCUCUAUUAAUUUCAAGUAUUUUUACUCAUUCCAUUCCAUUCCAUUCUACCCAACCAAACACAACAUUAAGAGUCCCUUGGAGUAACAUUUUUUCUAUCCCUCCUCAAAUCUCAAGUUAGGAGCCUAAAUGAAGAGUCUCUUGGAGAUGCUCUUAGUGACCAAAAUUUUAAAUUAAAUUCGGUUCAAGUUAAGUAUUUGACCCGUGUAUUCAAUUCUGACUAUCUUCGACUUGAUAUUGGCCCGACAAUUUUGGGUAUCAGACUAUCGGGUCGGGUUGACCAUCACGGAUAAAAGUUUUGCCCGGCCUAAAAUUUUAAUAGGUCAGAAUACAACCAGAACCUGACCCUCGGUAACCCGACCCGAUCCAUGAUAUUUAUUAAUUAAUAUUUUAAAGUAAUAAAUAAAAAUCAUUUUAAUUUAAAUAAAUAAAAUUAUUUCUUAUUAAAUUUAACUAAUAAAUAUUACAAAAAUAAUAUAAAUAUAUAUAAUAUUUAUAUUAUAUAUAAAUUUCGGGUUGUUCGAAAAUGACCCUUCUUUUCGAGUUGAUUUUUUAUUAACCCGAACUCGAAAAACUCAAAUCCAAAUUCAUAUUUUAUAUUUUAUAAGUCGAAUUCGUGUCAGGUGAUGAAAUAGGAUUCAAUAUUACGGGCCCUAAUCCCACCCAACCUAACCAAACAUGAUCGACCCGAAAAUUAAAAAAUAUACAGGACAUGCAUAUACGGCGAACCAAAAUAACAAACAGUAAACAGUGAAAAGGUAAAAGGGAAAAAAGGAAAAGAAAAAUGAGUAGAGCCCGAACCAAGAAUACCCAAUAUCCAAUUAACUACUAAAACGAACCCUAAUUUCACCAACUUCAACACUUCACUCAUUCAAAGCUCGUCUCGCUCGAAAAUAAUGGCGGAAGUGGAUCACAACGACGACGUUCAAAGCGAGACGAGCGACUACACAUCGGAAGACGAAGGAACCGAGGAUUACAGAAAAGGAGGCUAUCACGCAGUUCAAAUCGGCGAUACAUUUAAACACGCUCGCUAUGUUGUGCAAAGCAAGCUCGGGUGGGGCCAUUUCUCCACUGUCUGGCUCUCUUGGGACACUCACAAAUCUGUAUGUGUAAAUAAAUAGCUAUAUUUUGGGAAAUGUUAUUUCUUUAUGUGGAUUUUGAUCUUGGAUUUUUUUUAAUUGGUUCCUAAAGUUCGUAACUUGGUGCUGUUUUUGUUUCGGAAUUAUGAUUUACGGAAUUCUUUGGUUCAGCUUAAUAGUUUACUUUUUAUCGAAAAAGUCUUUUUUUUUUGUUGACUGCUUUGUAAUGUUGAGUAGGUUAUGGUUUUGUAUGCGAAAUUUACAUGAUCCGUGAAAUAUUCGUAAUAUUGAUGUUUUGGUUGCUGUGUCAUGUGGUAUGAUGCUGUUCCUUAUUAGCUCAUGUUUUGGGGACAAGAUAUGUGUUAUAUCCACAAAUAUCAAAUUUGCUGUAAUAACUUGCCGGAAAUCCUAGCUGGCCAAAGUGUGGCGGAUUUGGGAUUGAGAAGUUGGGACGAAUGGACGAUGCUGUGGGAUUUCUGAAGCUACUCUCUUUGGACUUGAGUAAUGCUAAAAACUUAUAAAUGAAGUCUAGGAAGAUUCCAAUAUAUGAUCAUUUUUAUGUUACUAAUAUUUAGAACGAAAAGGGAUUAAACCCAUUGUGUAACUUAGUGUUGUGUAACUCUUAACAUUGAUCUAGUUCCAGGACCUUAGAUCUAUUGGAUUAACCAAAUAAGUACAAAACGAACUGAGGACUUGCUCUCUCUAAUCAGUUUCCUACGACAUUGAGAGUGUAUUGUAAUCAGGAAUUGAUGUUUUGCUUUUAAACCAAACUUUGAUGGCUAUUAACUCGGAUGGUAAUUUGCAUGCUCAUGUGUUCUACGAGUUGUUAAUUUCUUGUAUUCAGCGAUAAGCAUACCUCUUUAUUUCGGUUUUAGACUGAGCAAUAAGAUAAAUAGAAGUUUUUUUUAAGUGUUUGUAUGUCUGAAGCUAAAGGGUUAAUAACUAUGCAUGGUUGUAAGCCUGUAAUGUGACACCACACAUUAAAAGCCAUUCAGCACCAUCAUAAAACAAAGGCUAAGCAACAUUAUGGUUAUAAUGCUUCAAUAGCUGAGCAAUAGGAAUAAUAUGUCUAUGUAUAUCUCUCAUUUUGUGUAUUAACAAUGAUAUGAAUUUUCAGCUUAGUGCUUAUGGUGGGAACUGUGACAUAAUAAUACACAAUUGAAAACCAAAUUUUCCUGCUUAACAUGUACUAUUUGUUACACCAAAAUACUUAUGUAGGAAGAAUCAUAACCUGGCAUCAAUUUGAAAUUGAUUUCUAAUCAUGUUUUAAAGUUUAGAUGAGGCUCUCAUCAUUGUCAGUGCCAUUAAAUGCCUUGUUGUCAAUGUAUGUGAUACCCUUUUUCACAGUUCACUCAAAUGUGUGUUAGUGGAUAUGUUCUAUUAUGUUUUGUAGUAAAAUGAUAUGGUAAAUAUAUGCUUCCUGUGCAAUAUAUCUAUUGUCUUUGUUUUUUAGUGCUUAUAAAAUGACAAUGAACUUACAGAGCAAUGACCUUUUUUCUGUAUAGAGAUAUGUAGCCUUGAAAAUUCAAAAAAGUGCCCAACACUACACCGAGGCAGCAAUGGACGAAAUUAAGAUUUUGAAGCAGAUUGCCGAGGAAGACCCAGAUGAUAAAAAGUCAGUUGUGAAACUUCUGGAUCACUUUAAACAUUCGGGGCCAAACGGGCAGCAUGUUUGCAUGGUUUUUGAGUACUUGGGUGAUAAUCUUUUGACACUCAUCAAGUACUCUGAUUAUCGGGGAAUUCCUCUUCCUAAGGUCAAAGAGAUAUGUUCCCACAUACUAGGAGGGUUGGAUUACUUACAUCGCAAGCUUUCUAUUAUACACACUGAUCUGAAGCCAGAAAAUGUGCUACUUUUGUCAAUGAUUGAUCCGACUAAGGAUCCAACAAAGUCAGGCGUGCCUCUCAUCAUCCCGUCCAAGAAGGAUAAGAUUGUGCCAGGGUCUGGUGCUUGUAGAGAG